CGGCCCACCUAGUCUUCGAUGGAUAGGGGUUCUGAGAGGAAGGUCCCCCACAUUGGAACUGAGACACGGUCCAAACUCCUACGGGAGGCAGCAGUGAGGAAUAUUGGUCAAUGGGCGAGAGCCUGAACCAGCCAAGUAGCGUGAAGGAUGACUGCCCUAUGGGUUGUAAACUUCUUUUAUACGGGAAUAAAGUGAGCCACGUGUGGCUUUUUGUAUGUACCGUAUGAAUAAGGAUCGGCUAACUCCGUGCCAGCAGCCGCGGUAAUACGGAGGAUCCGAGCGUUAUCCGGAUUUAUUGGGUUUAAAGGGAGCGUAGGCGGGUUGUUAAGUCAGUUGUGAAAGUUUGCGGCUCAACCGUAAAAUUGCAGUUGAUACUGGCGACCUUGAGUGCAACAGAGGUAGGCGGAAUUCGUGGUGUAGCGGUGAAAUGCUUAGAUAUCACGAAGAACUCCGAUUGCGAAGGCAGCCUGCUAAGCUGCAACUGACAUUGAGGCUCGAAAGUGUGGGUAUCAAACAGGAUUAGAUACCCUGGUAGUCCACACAGUAAACGAUGAAUACUCGCUGUUGGCGAUAUACGGUCAGCGGCCAAGCGAAAGCAUUAAGUAUUCCACCUGGGGAGUACGCCGGCAACGGUGAAACUCAAAGGAAUUGACGGGGGCCCGCACAAGCGGAGGAACAUGUGGUUUAAUUCGAUGAUACGCGAGGAACCUUACCCGGGCUUAAAUUGCAGAUGAAUUACGGUGAAAGCCGUAAGCCGCAAGGCAUCUGUGAAGGUGCUGCAUGGGUGUCGUCAGCUCGUGCCGUGAGGUGUCGGCUUAAGUGCCAUAACGAGCGCAACCCUUGUUGUCAGUUAC
rnacentral:rRNA from 1 species